rnacentral:rRNA from 1 species
CGGAGGGUGCAAGCGUUGUCCGGAUUUAUUGGGUUUAAAGGGUGCGUAGGCGGCUAUUUAAGUCAGUGGUGAAAUCCUGCAGCUCAACUGUAGAAUUGCCAUUGAUACUGGAUAGCUUGAGUACAGACGAGGUAGGCGGAAUUUAUGGUGUAGCGGUGAAAUGCAUAGAUACCAUAAAGAACUCCUAUUGCGAAGGCAGCUUACUAGGCUGUAACUGACGCUGAGGCACGAAAGCGUGGGGAUCAAACAGGAUUAGAUACCCUGGUAGUCCACGCCGUAAACGAUGAUUACUCGAUGUUCGCGAUAUACAGUGAGCGUCCAAGCGAAAGCGUUAAGUAAUCCACCUGGGAAGUACGAUCGCAAGAUUG